rnacentral:rRNA from 1 species
GACGAACGCUGGCGGCGUGCUUAACACAUGCAAGUCGAACGGAAAGGCCCUGCUUUUGUGGGGUGCUCGAGUGGCGAACGGGUGAGUAACACGUGAGUAACCUGCCCUUGACUUUGGGAUAACUUCAGGAAACUGGGGCUAAUACCGGAUAGGAGCUCCUGCUGCAUGGUGGGGGUUGGAAAGUUUCGGCGGUUGGGGUGGACCUCGGGGUUUAUAAGCUGGUGGGGGGGGUAGUGGCUUACCAAGGCUUUGCCGGGUAGCGGGCCUGGGAGGGUGACCGGCCAAUUGGGGACUAGGAAACGGCCCAGACCCCCCGGGGAGGAAGGAGUGGGGAAUUUUGCAAAAGGGGGGGAAGCCUGAUGCACAACCCCGGGGGGGGGGAGGGGGGCCUUGGGGUUGAAAACCGCUUUCCCCUGGGACGAAGGGGGGGUGACGGUAAGGGGUAAAGAAGCACCGGCAAACUACGU